AACUAUAAAGUUUAUUACUAAACUGUGUUCCCUGGCUUUAGCCCUCUUAGAAUCAGCACUUACAAGAAUACCUUUGACUUUUUUUCUCUUUUUUGGACACAAUACAAGCUUAUUUAUUUGGACAUUCUACCCAACACAAGUGUCAAGGUAGUAGUAACGUGUCCACUUGGAGCCCAAAGCAGGUGCCUGCUCGAAGACAACUCCACCCUGCAAACCCUUUUCCCCUCCUGCCACCAAAUUAUGAAAUAAUAAUGCCGAGACCGUCAAGAGCAGGGUCAAGCAAAUGACGUCAAGGACCCUGACAAGAAGGCAUGAAUGGCUCAACACAGAAAGAGACGUAUUUCAGUGGCAAUUGGCUACUGGACACUGUGUUCGUGCUCUCCUUGCAUUAUUAGCCCAUUUAAAGCUCGUAUCAGCUCCAAGGACAAUGACCAGCAAAUCUUACCCAAUGUAGACACAACACUGCUAUUCACACCGAGUAUCCUCCCUUUCAUUCCUUAGACAGUCUACACCUGCACAUGUGCUCCUUUGUAAACUGAAGGUGAACACGGUAAGCAAUAAACAGUAUGGACCUUCUAAUCAUCUUUCUAGUACUGAUGAAGUCUGCGGGUGGAAGGACGGAGUGACCCAGAAGAAGUAUGGUGCAAGCAUGGGAUUUUUGAUGGCUAUUGACUGCUUGGCUCUGCUCUCAGUUUCCAUUGAUUUCUUGGCGUUGACAGGAUCUACUACUGCGAUGCUUUGUUUCAAAGAGCCACUUUUUUGUUUUUUGGCUUUUUUUUUUUUUUUUUUUUUUGAGAGCCAGUGUUUUAUUUUCCCUGCUGCGGCAUGUCCCUGGUGCAUAGGUCAUUUCCUGGAGACCUCAUCGUAGCCAGGAAACAGCCAAGAGUGAAGAAAUAAGCCAAAAUACCUCCGAGCAACUAAAAUAGAUAAUGGCCAAGUCUCCACUGUCCAAACACUUCAUAAAGAGGAAAGCCCUUUGGAGUUCUCUGCACAUAGUUCUAGUAAGCUCUAUUGUGUGAUUUUCUAGCAAAGCACUUUAAACAGCACGUGUGUUGGGAGGUUAGGAAAGGAGAGUUGCCAAAGGCUGGGACACUGGCAGCUAUGAAAAUGACAUCUGAUAGACUGCAAGAGAGAAAAAGACCAAAGAACAAAAGAAAAGAAAAGAAAACCUAUAAAAACAGGAAUCAAGGAAUCAAAACUCAGAGAUGGGAUCAUGCCACAGAGAGGCAAACACCCCAUACUUGACCAUUGGAUUCCGGCGUGGGAGAGAAAUUGACAUCCACCCGGAAGCCUGAGAUAAAAAGACUGGAACAAGAUAUGCUCAGCAAACUGUUGGAGAAGGCAGGAAGUAUGUGAUACAUUUUAGAAAGAUUUCUAGACAAAAUAGUUUUGCUACUGUUUUUGUGUUUAAAUGCGUAAAGUUCAGGGAGGGGAAAAAAGAUCUUUUACUUUUUAAGCAGUUAAAAAAAAAAAAAAAAAAAACCUGUAACAGAAAAAAGAAAAGCGGAUCCCGAAGUCAUUUAAAUAGGCCAGGUCUUCCCUAACCUGCUGGAUACAUUAGGCAUUCUCGUCUUUCAAACAAAGCAUGAAAAUCUCUUUAGAAGUGUCAUGUUCUGCGAAUAUCACUAUAACAGUGAUAAUAUGAUUCCCGAAGGAGAGAGACACACACACAGAGACAGUUUUUUCCCAGCCACCUAUGCUCUGUUGACCUAGUUAUUAACAUAAUUCAUUCGGCUUUAACUUUACUUAUCAUUCAUCAGACUUACUUCCCAUGCACCUAGGUAAUAUUCCUAAUUUUCAUUUUGAUGGCUGCCAUGGCAGGUGGCAUGCCAUAUUCCAUGAUU